rnacentral:rRNA from 1 species
GACGAACGCUGGCGGCGUGCUUAACACAUGCAAGUCGAACGGAAAGGCCCUGCUUUUGUGGGGUGCUCGAGUGGCGAACGGGUGAGUAACACGUGAGUAACCUGCCCUUGACUUUGGGAUAACUUCAGGAAACUGGGGCUAAUACCGGAUAGGAGCUCCUGCUGCAUGGUGGGGGUUGGAAAGUUUCGGCGGUUGGGGAUGGACUCGCGGCUUAUCAGCUUGUUGGUUGGGUAGUGGCUUACCAAGGCUUGGACGGGUAGCCGGCCUGAGAGGGUGACCGGCGACAUGGGGACUGAGAUACGGCCCAGACUCCUACGGGAGGCAGCAGUGGGGAAUAUUGCACAAUGGGCGGAAGCCUGAUGCAGCAACGCCGCGUGCGGGAUGACGGCCUUCGGGUUGUAAACCGCUUUCGCCUGUGACGAAGCGUGAGUGACGGUAAUGGGUAAAGAAGCACCGGCUAACUACGUG